AAUAGAUACCCCGGUAGUCCACGCCGUAAACGAUGAGUGCUAAGUGUUAGAGGGUUUCCGCCCUUUAGUGCUGAAGUUAACGCAUUAAGCACUCCGCCUGGGGAGUACGGCCGCAAGGCUGAAACUCAAAGGAAUUGACGGGGGCCCGCACAAGCGGUGGAGCAUGUGGUUUAAUUCGAAGCAACGCGAAGAACCUUACCAGGUCUUGACAUCCUCUGACAACCCUAGAGAUAGGACUUCUCCUUCGGGAGCAGAGUGACAGGUGGUGCAUGGUUGUCGUCAGCUCGUGUCGUGAGAUGUUGGGUUAAGUCCCGCAACGAGCGCAACCCUUGAUCUUAGUUGCCACCAUUUAGUUGGGCACUCUAAGGUGACUGCCGGUGACAAACCGGAGGAAGGUGGGGAUGACGUCAAAUCAUCAUGCCCCUUAUGACCUGGGCUACACACGUGCUACAAUGGACGGUACAAAGAGCUGCAAGACCGCGAGGUGGAGCUAAUCUCAAUAAAACCGUUCUCAGUUCGGAUUGUAGGCUGCAACUCCG
rnacentral:rRNA from 1 species